rnacentral:rRNA from 1 species
GAUCAUGGCUCAGGAUGAACGCUAGCUACAGGCUUAACGCGUGCAAGUCGAGGGGCAGCAUGGUCUUAGCUUGCUAAGGCCGAUGGCGACCGGCGCACGGGUGAGUAACACGUAUCCAACCUGUCGUCUACUCUUGGACAGCCUUCUGAAGGGAAGAUUAAUACAAGAUGGCAUCAUGAGUCCGCAUGUUCACAUGAUUAAAGGUAUUCCGGUAGACGAUGGGGA